ensembl:lncRNA
CAAAAAUGUGAUGCUUUGUGGCGUGGUCAAGAUUUUAUUAGUCCAUCAUUACCUGGUGGUUUGCAGUGGGGGAGAGAGGGGUUUAAAUAUUUAGGUGAUUUUCUAGGGACAGAUGAAAAAAAAAAAAAAAUAUAAAAAAAAAUGGGGAGGGACUAGUGGAAAUAGUGUGUGCUCGGUUGUCUCACUGGAAAUGGUUGCUACCCCAGCUGUCCUAUAGGGGGAGAACCCUGGUCUGUAAUAACCUGGUGGCAUCAUCUUUGUGGCACAAAAUGAUGAUUUUAGAGCCUCCGGAAGACCUGGUAAGAAGAAUUCAACAGUGCCUGUUGGAUUUCGUCUGGUCAGGACAGCACUGGUUGAAGGCACCAGUGCUCUAUCUGCCAAUACAGGAAGGAGGACAAGGGUUGGUCGACAUUAAAUCCUGAGUCAGAGCUUUUAGACUCAAUAUGGGUUUAGACCGACAUCUGUUUCUGAUGGACACUGACAAACUAAACCUGACAGGAUUGACACCUUUUUAAAGAUCAAUGUUAAAUACAUGGACAUUUUUCAGUUUCUCUCGGGAGCCAAAUGGUGUGAAGGGGCUAUGGCUGAGAGAAGAACCACUGUUUUUUAAUAAAAGCACUGGAUUUAGAUGCUUCUAAACCAAGAUCCCUCAGAAAAAUGCUGUGGACUGCAAAUAUGACCAAAAUUGGACAUUUUGUUUCUGAAGAAGGAUGGAUUUCUGCUGAACGUUUGGCUUUAAAACUGGGUAUGAGAUCAGUCAGAGUGGCAGACUGUUGACUCAAAUCUUUGAGUUUUUACCACCUGAUUAUAGACUGUUAUUAGAGACACCGGUUGAAGAGGAGGAGUUUUCUGUCUUCCCGGACCUGAAUUUUUCAGCUGAUUUUAGAACAUGGGAAGAAAUGGAAAAUGGAUUGCUUUUUUUUUUCAGACACUGUACUGUGUCUGUAUGUACUGUGUGUAAAGGUGUCUCAUCUUCUUCAGCUUCAGAAUGUGAAGGAGUCUAAGUGGCAGG